rnacentral:rRNA from 1 species
GAUAAACGCUAGCGGCAGGCUUAACACAUGCAAGUCGAGGGGCAGCAUAGAUUGUAGCAAUACAAUUGGUGGCGACCGGCGCACGGGUGCGUAACGCGUAUGCAACCUACCCGUCACAGGGGGAUAAUCCGGAGAAAUCUGGUCUAAUACCCCAUAACAUAUGGAUCGGCAUCGGUUCAUGUUGAAAUUUUCGGAGGUGACGGAUGGGCAUGCGUAGCAUUAGCUUGUUGGUGAGGUAACGGCUCACCAAGGCGACGAUGCUUAGGGGGACUGAGAGGUUUUCCACCCACACUGGUACUGAGACACGGACCAGACGCCUACGGGAGGCAGCAGUGAGGAAUAUUGGUCAAUGGGCGCAAGCCUGAACCAGCCAUGCCGCGUGCAGGAUGACGGCUCUACGAGUUGUGAACUGCUUUUGUACGAGGGUAAAGUGGGUUACGUGUAACCUUUUGAAAGUAUCGUACGAAUAAGGAUCGGCUAACUCCGUGCCAGCAGCCGCAGUAA